UACGAAGGGGCUAGCGUUGUUCGGAAUUACUGGCGUAAAGGGCGCGUAGGCGGUGUGUCAAGUCAGGCGUGAAAGCCCCGGGCUCAACUGGGGAGGGUCAUUCGAUACUGAUCGACUCGAAGGCAGGAGAGGGUAGUGGAAUUCCAGUGUAGUGGUGAAAUACGUAGAGAUUGGGAAGAACACCAGUGGCGAAGGCGGCUAUCUGGACGGUUUCUGACGCUAAGACGCGAAAGCGUGGGGAGCAAACAGG
rnacentral:rRNA from 1 species